CCUGCCCCUAGAGGUGUUAGAAAUGUGGCUGCUGCAUCAUAUGUGUAUCAGUGGGUGGCAGAGGAGAGAGAAGCUAUGUCUAUGCUCAAUAUUCUAACCUAUAAACAUCUGAAUGAUCAGUAACUUAACAAU